UCGUCGUGGCAUCUCAGGCCGAGGUAUCGCCAUUGGCGGUGGCGGAUUGGGAGUGAUCAUCAUUGCCCUUGCAGUUCUGCUCUGCGGCGGCGACCC
rnacentral:tRNA from 1 species